CAUCGAUAUACUGCAAUAAAAUUACAUUAUUUGGCCUUUUCCAUUCUUCAAGAAUCUGGGCCAUAGCCAUGCUGUACAUAGUGGGUGAGUUUUGUGCGCCAUGUGGCAAUACUGUCCAAGUGUACUGCUUGUGUUUAUGUGUAAAUGCAAAUAAAAACUGACUGUCGGGAGCCAGGGGGACACUGAAAAAUGCAUUUGCCAAGUCAAUAACAGUAAAUACCUUAGAGGAAUGUGGUAUUUGUGCCAACAAGGUGUGUGGGUUGGGAACAUUAGGGGCAAUGAGUUCAGUUACAGCAUUAAUUGCCCUCAAAUCAUGUACCAUAUGGUAGACCACAGGUUUCCCUUUCUCUUGCUUUUUCUUAAUUGGGUACAAUGGUGUGUUACAAGGGGAGGUGGUCUGGAC